rnacentral:rRNA from 1 species
GACGAACGCUGGCGGCGUGCUUAACACAUGCAAGUCGAGCGGAAAGGCCCUUUGGGGUACUCGAGCGGCGAACGGGUGAGUAACACGUGGGUAAUCUGCCUCUAGCUCUGGGAUAACUCCGGGAAACCGGGGCUAAUACUGGAUAUGACAUUUGCGCGCAUGCGUGGGUGUGGAAAGUUUUUCGGCUAGAGAUGAGCCCGCGGCCUAUCAGCUUGUUGGUGGGGUGAUGGCCUACCAAGGCUUUGACGGGUAGCCGGCCUGAGAGGGCGACCGGCCACACUGGGACUGAGACACGGCCCAGACUCCUACGGGAGGCAGCAGUGGGGAAUAUUGCGCAAUGGGCGAAAGCCUGACGCAGCGACGCCGCGUGAGGGAUGAAGGCCUUCGGGUUGUAAACCCCUUUCAGCAGGGACGAAGCGUAAGUGACGGUACCUGCAGAAGAAGCACCGGCCAACUACGUGCCAGCCGCCGCAGUAACAC